AGUGAACGCUGGCGGUAGGCCUAACACAUGCAAGUCGAACGGCAGCACAGUAAGAGCUUGCUCUUACGGGUGGCGAGUGGCGGACGGGUGAGGAAUACAUCGGAAUCUACUUUUUCGUGGGGGAUAACGUAGGGAAACUUACGCUAAUACCGCAUACGACCUACGGGUGAAAGCAGGGGAUCUUCGGACCUUGCGCGAUUGAAUGAGCCGAUGUCGGAUUAGCUAGUUGGCGGGGUAAAGGCCCCCCAAGGCGACGAUCCGUAGCUGGUCUGAGAGGAUGAUCAGCCACACUGGAACUGAGACACGGUCCAGACUCCUACGGGAGGCAGCAGUGGGGAAUAUUGGACAAUGGGCGCAAGCCUGAUCCAGCCAUACCGCGUGGGUGAAGAAGGCCUUCGGGUUGUAAAGCCCUUUUGUUGGGAAAGAAAGGCAGCAGGUUAAUACCCCGCUGUUCUGACGGUACCCAAAGAAUAAGCACCGGCUAACUUCGU
rnacentral:rRNA from 1 species